GAUUGAACGCUGGCGGCAUGCCUUACACAUGCAAGUCGGACGGCAGCGCGGGCUUCGGCCUGGCGGCGAGUGGCGAACGGGUGAGUAAUACAUCGGAACGUGUCCUGUAGUGGGGGAUAGCCCGGCGAAAGCCGGAUUAAUACCGCAUACGCUCUGCGGAGGAAAGCGGGGGAUCCUUCGGGACCUCGCGCUACAGGGGCGGCCGAUGGCAGAUUAGCUAGUUGGUGGGGUAAAGGCCUACCAAGGCGACGAUCUGUAGCUGGUCUGAGAGGACGACCAGCCACACUGGGACUGAGACACGGCCCAGACUCCUACGGGAGGCAGCAGUGGGGAAUUUUGGACAAUGGGGGCAACCCUGAUCCAGCAAUGCCGCGUGUGUGAAGAAGGCCUUCGGGUUGUAAAGCACUUUUGUCCGGAAAGAAAACUUCUGGGUUAAUACCCCGGGAGGAUGACGGUACCGGAAGAAUAAGCACCGGCUAACUACGU
rnacentral:rRNA from 1 species